rnacentral:rRNA from 1 species
UACAGAGGGGGCAAGCGUUGUUCGGAAUUACUGGGCGUAAAGCGUGCGCAGGCGGUUUUGUAAGUCUGUCGUGAAAUCCCCGGGCUCAACCUGGGAAUUGCGAUGGAGACUGCAAGGCUAGAAUCUGGCAGAGGGGGGUAGAAUUCCACGUGUAGCAGUGAAAUGCGUAGAGAUGUGGAGGAACACCGAUGGCGAAGGCAGCCCCCUGGGUCAAGAUUGACGCUCACGCACGAAAGCGUGGGGAGCAAACAGG